rnacentral:rRNA from 1 species
GAUGAACGCUGGCGGCGUGCCUAAUACAUGCAAGUCGAGCGAACGGACGAGAAGGUUGCUUCUAUUAUGUUAGCGGCGGACGGGUGAGUAACACGUGGAUAACCUCCCUAGAAGAAUGGGAUAAAUUCGGGACAACGGAGCUAAUACCGGAUCAUCUUUUAAACCGCAUGGUUCAAAAGUGAAAGACGGUCUUGCUGUCACUUGUAGAUGGAUCCGCGCUGCAUUAGCUAGUUGGGAAGGUAACGGCUUACCAAGGCAACGAUGCAUAGCCGACCUGAGAGGGUGAUCGGCCACACGGGAACUGAGACACGGUCCAUACGCCUACGGGAGGCAGCAGUAGGGAAUCGGCCGCAAUGGGCGAAAGCCUGACGGAGCAACGCCGCGUGAGUCAUGAAGGUCUUCGGAUCGGAAAACUCUGUUAUGAGUGAAGAACAUAUGUGUAAGUAACUGUGCACAUCGUGACGGUACCUAAUCAGAAAGCCACGGCUAACUACGUG